rnacentral:sRNA from 1 species
AAAUAAACCCUAUUGCAGCGGCAUCCUUUUAUUGUUGCAGCUAUUUAAUACCCUGCCAGAUCAUUCACAAUAAAAGAUAUAGCGGAAAGAGGGACCACAC